rnacentral:lncRNA from 1 species
AAUAUAACAUUUGACAUUCAUGACAAACAUCUUUAUGUUCGUAUAGGUGUGUUGAUGAUAAAAUAUAAUUAGAGACAUAGAUUUGUGUAUUUUGUAUUGUCAUGUGAGUAAUAUAUGGAAAACCAAGUUAAUACAAAAGAAAAAGUCAAAUAUUAUCUUUUAGGGUAAAAAUGUCAUAUAUGUGGCUUUUAAAUGGCAAGACUUUAGCUUCGGAACUU